rnacentral:rRNA from 1 species
UACAGAGGUCCCGAGCGUUGUUCGGAUUCACUGGGCGUAAAGGGUGCGUAGGUGGCGAGGUAAGUCGGAUGUGAAAGCUCGGAGCUCAACUCCGAAAUGGCAUUGGAAACUACCUUGCUCGAGGGUUGGAGGGGGGACUGGAAUACUUGGUGUAGCAGUGAAAUGCGUAGAUAUCAAGUGGAACACCAGUGGCGAAGGCGAGUCCCUGGACAACUCCUGACACUGAGGCACGAAAGCUAGGGGAGCAAACAGG